rnacentral:rRNA from 1 species
UACGAAGGGGGCUAGCGUUGUUCGGAAUUACUGGGCGUAAAGCGCGCGCAGGUGGUCUUUCAAGUCAGUGGUGAAAGCCCGGAGCUCAACUCCGGAAAUGCCAUUGAAACUGUGAGACUUGAGUCCGGGAGAGGUGAGUGGAACUGCGAGUGUAGAGGUGAAAUUCGUAGAUAUUCGCAAGAACACCAGUGGCGAAGGCGGCUCACUGGCCCGGUACUGACGCUGAGGCACGAAAGCGUGGGGAGCAAACAGG